rnacentral:pre_miRNA from 13 species
AUGGAAUUUUCUCUCUCCUAAUCCUGGAACAGGGUCAGACUACCCUGAGGAGAAGCAGCAGAGAAUGGGACUGUAUCAU